GACGAACGCUGGCGGCGUGCUUAACACAUGCAAGUCGAACGGAAAGGCCCUGCUUUUGUGGGGUGCUCGAGUGGCGAACGGGUGAGUAACACGUGAGUAACCUGCCCUUGACUUUGGGAUAACUUCAGGAAACUGGGGCUAAUACCGGAUAGGAGCUCCUGCUGCAUGGUGGGGGUUGGAAAGUUUCGGCGGUUGGGGAUGGACUCGCGGCUUAUCAGCUUGUUGGUGGGGUAGUGGCUUACCAAGGCUUUGACGGGUAGCCGGCAUGAGAGGGUGACCGGCGACAUUGGGACUGAGAUACGGCCCAGACUCCUACGGGAGGCAGCAGUGGGGAAUAUUGCACAAUGGGCGGAAGCCUGAUGCAGCAACGCCGCGUGCGGGAUGACGGCCUUCGGGUUGUAAACCGCUUUCGCCUGUGACGAAGCGUGAGUGACGGUAAUGGGUAAAGAAGCACCGGCUAACUACGUG
rnacentral:rRNA from 1 species